CGGAGGAAAUAGAUGCUCAGGAGUGAACUACCGAGAGAAUCGGAUCUGGCGCCUCCUAACGCAGCUGGCAAACAUGCGAAGGUGGAACACUUCACAAAUAUGCAUGUCAUCCUUGUGUAGUGGCCAUGCCAACCUUUGUAUUGUUCCAACUUUAGUAGACUGAGAGAGAGAUCCCGGAAACAGCUCAACCCCAGGCCGGGGGAGGUAAAAGAAAUCUGGCAGCGGUUGGAUGCAGAGACACCAACUAAAAAUCUAGUGGACUGAAGUCCUUCUGAAGGAGUGGAGAGACUCCCCUGAACUUGGUGUGGUGAGCCCUGACUCAGGGUUUCUAAAAGGAGAAUGACAGUCACCAGCUUAGAACAGAAAAAGGACAGAUGGGCACGUCUGCAAGAUAAAAAUAUCACUAGCACCAGCAUUGCUCCAGUACCUUGAGUUUAUUCCCAGGCCUCUGUCCUCUUCUUCCCUUUCAUCCUCUGAGCAGAGAACAGCUAACUAGAUGAUUCAUUCACAUUUACAGGGUACUGCCUACUAUAUGGCAGGCACCAGGUUCAACCGUUUCUCCGUGUUGUCUUGUUUUAUGCAGUCAGCUAUUCUGUGAGUAGAUACUCAUAGAUAUCAUUAUCCCCAUUUUCUAGAUGGGGGAUCUGAGGCUUAGAGAGAUUAAAUAUAACUCUAGCUCCCCAGUGUUGGGCCUGGGCUUGUUUGCCCUCAAAUCCAUUCCUUGCCCUUCCUCUGUUUAGCUCUGUAUCACAGGAAGGCCAGCCUCUGCAGGCUGCCAAAUCAACUGACUUCCUGUAUAGAUUGACCAAUGGGAGUCAGUGAUAGGAGCCUGGUGGGCGGGAGGAAGGGAGAAGCCUGGGUAUUUCUCCCUCUCUCCGCCUCAGGUAAUAUUUCCAGUAGCAGCUACAUUUCCUAUGUCUCCACCUCCCAUCAGACAGGCCCACUGUGGGUCCACCUUCUGUCUGGUGACCUCAAUCCUUCCUGGGUACCAGAAACACCACCUCCUCCUUUGGUCCCUCCAAUCCCAGGGGUGGUACUGGCCUUCCUGCUGUCGCUCAUCUGUAGGUUCUUUACCCUCCCUCCCCUGUUUGCGUGCUUCCAUGGUUCUUCCAUUACCUAGGAAGCAAUUCUUUGCAUAAAUUCCCCUAUUCUAGUAUCUGUUUUUCCCGGUUGGAUUCUCACUGGUUUUCUGCCUUUCGUGAAUGCUCACAGGGUAGUCAAUUCAUCAGGUUCGGAAUGAAACAAUUCCCUCUCCUUGAGCACAGCACAUCCCACAAAAAGGAAAAUAGUAACCACCAUUUAUUGAGCAUUGUGCUCAGUGCCAGACAAAUGUUCUUUUGUGGAACACUCAUAGCAGCCCUUUCUGCCAAACCCCAUUAAUUACUAUUCCCAUUUGACAGGUGGGUCUCACAGAGGUUGGGUUGCUUGCCCAAAGUGGUACAGUUAUAAACUGACAAAGCUGGGAUUCGAGGAGCUCCCAGCUCCAAAAAUCUGCUUGUCUUUUUCUAAUCUCUGCUGACAUCUUGAACACACUUGCAACUCCCUGAUAAACCUAUUAGAACUCAAGUCCCUUGGCUGACUGAAGAUUCCACCUCAACUUACUCUAGGGCAAGUAUAUGAGCUUCCUAGGGCUGCUGUAACAAAGUACCACAAACUGGGUGGCCAAGAACACCAGAAAUUUAUUGUCUCAUGCUUUGGGAGACCAGAAGUCUGAAAUCAAGGUAUCAGCAGGGCUGUGGUCCCUCUGAAGGCUCCAUGGAAAGUUCUGACCCAGGCCUCUCUCCCAGCUUCUGGAAGCCUCAGGCACUCCUUGGCUUGUGGAUGGCCGUCUUCUCCCUGUGUCUCUUCAUAUCAUCUUCUCUCUGGGCCUGCCUGUGUGUCCAAAUCUCCCCUUUUUAUGAGCACACUAGUCAUAUUGGAUUAGGGCUCACUGUAAUGAACUAAUUUUAACUUGGUUACCUCUCUAAAGACCCUGUUUCCAAAUAAGAUCGCGCUCCGAGGUACUGGGGGGGACACAAUUUAACUAAUAACAGUCCUUCUUGACCCAGGUGCUCAGUCUCUACAGUGUGACCUAGUUGGUCCUAUUUUUUUUUUUUUCUUGGCGGCUCUGCGCAGCUCGCGGGAUCUUAGUUCCCUGACCAGGGAUUGAACCCAGGCCCAUGGCAGUGAAAGCGCAGAGUCCUAACCACUGGACUGCCAGGGAAUUCCCGGACCUGUAUUUCUAAUGGAGGAUGCUAGAUUUCCAGGAAGACCCCACCCCUUUAAGAGAUGCAAUGAUUCCCAAGUCAUGUAUGUAUUCCAAAAUGUAUCCCAACAUUUUACCCCAAAAUAUAGAGAGAGAUGUAAAGUACCUAGUAUAGCCAAACCAAUUUUGAAAAAGGAGGACAAAGUUGAAAGACUUAACCUACUUGACUUCAACACAUUUUAAAGCUAGAGUAAUCAAGAAAGUAUAUAUUGGCAUAUUAGCAAAUAGAGCAAUGGAAUAGAAUAGAGAAUCCAGAAACAGACCCUCACGUAUUGUCACUUGAUUUUUGACAGAAUGAUCCAUGCAUUUCAAUAGGGAAAUUUUACUCCACUCAAAAAUCAGUUUGAGAUGGAUCGUAAACAUAAACAUACAAGGAAAAACUCUAAAGCUUUAUACUUUUUAAAACUUUUUUAAAAUUAUUAAUUUAUUUAUUUGGCUGUGCUGGGUCUUAGUUGCAGCAUGCAUGC